rnacentral:rRNA from 1 species
GAUGAACGCUGGCGGCGUGCUUAACACAUGCAAGUCGAACGAAGCACUUUUACAGAUUUCUUCGGAAUGAAGUUUUGGUGACUGAGUGGCGGACGGGUGAGUAACGCGUGGGUAACCUGCCUCACACAGGGGGAUAACAGUUGGAAACGGCUGCUAAUACCGCAUAAGCGCACAGUACCGCAUGGUACGGUGUGAAAAACUCUGGUGGUGUGAGAUGGACCCGCGUCUGAUUAGCUAGUUGGCAGGGUAACGGCCUACCAAGGCGACGAUCAGUAGCCGACCUGAGAGGGUGACCGGCACAUUGGGACUGAGACACGGCCCAAAACUCCUACGGGAGCAGCAGUGGGGAAUAUUGCACAAUGGGGGAAACCCUGAUGCAGCGACGCCGCGUGAGCGAAGAAGUAUUUCGGUAUGUAAAAGCUCUAUCAGCAGGGAAGAAGAAAUGACGGUACCUGACUAAGAAGCACCGGCUAAAAUACGUGCCAGCAGCCGACG